ACAAAUACUACUGUGCCUAGAACGCUGAUUGUUUUAAUUUUUUUUUCCUGCUUCAGCGUGUCUGUCCCCUUAUGCCAGUUUAUCGUUACAUCUGAGACACCGUGUAUUUACGCCAACACACAGCCAAUACGCCAAUACGCCAAUGUCCGAGGGCGCCAAGGAUGGCUGAGCGUCCGUUUCAUCACCAUUCGCAUUCAGUAAAAACGAGUUCAUUGUAAUAAAAAUCCUCACAAGUAUAAGGUAAUUUCGUUCUGAAUGACGACUCUGUCCACAUGUCGCUCUUUUAUACUAUUUUUGAUUCUAGAUAAAACAUUCCAUGGUUUCGAUAACAAUCAGUAUCUUAAAAUUAUAAUGGUCUUUCUCUACGACGGCGUCAUUAUUUUAAUUAUUCACAUUCAGAAAUUUUAAUACAGACAAUCAAGUAGGUAUUGAAACUUUUGUUUCUUUUUUGGGUUAGCUAAAACUUGGUUGAUUCUUUGCUAGUGACGGUCAACAGACAUCAGAAUCGCCUUCUCUCGGCAACCGGACAAAACUUUAACAGUGUCUCAUCUUUUUUUCCCUACCUAGUCAUUUGUGCCGUAAGGGGGCUACUAUUCCCAUUACGUGCGGACGGAUAAGUGAGCUCACGCGACUCGACCUGGAAGACCUUACUAAUACUAGCCAUAGCAAGAGCAAUGCUUCGCUGAAUCUACCACCGCUUUUUCUUCUUUGGUUUUGUCCACGAAAAAUCUUUCUCAAGUAGGCGAGAACCUUUCACGAAAUUAUUUCCUAUUCCGAUGUUUUUUAUACGUGGUACAAGAAAAUUAAAAAUAAUCGCGAUCCACGUAAUCAGCGUAUUUUAUCAACGUUACAUGCACACACGCAAUGUAAUACAAAUAAAAACAGAUGUUACGUGGCAGUCUGUUGACGCAGGAGGGCUGAUUCAACUAUCUUUACUUUGGGUUGUGGGAUCAUAAAGCUUUAAUUUAUUAAAAUACCGAAUAUUUAAUGUUUAGUUAUGAAAAUGAAUAUUUAAUAUGGGUUAGAUUUUAUCCGUUUUGGGUACGGUUAUCUUGCACUGUAUAGAUGACUUCGUUAUUUUAAAUUUAAAGGUUAUUUUUUUAUUGCAUACUUAGGUUAAUGAACUCACGGUGCUCCGGUCAAUCGAAGCCGUCGGAGCACCAUGGUUCCUGAGGAACGGGGAUCUCUACGAUGACCUGAAACUCGACUCUGUCAAUAACUAUCUACAUUGCGCCAUUUCGAGAAGGCGACACGACAUGAGAACCCUCUUGUCGUGGCCGCUGGAAACUACAUACCCGAUCCUGUAAACCGAAUGGUAAACAGUCGACGUCGCCCAAAGCACGUCAUUAUGGAUCCUCCCGAUCCAUUAACGGUGCUUUUACCAAAAGCACCGGUCACCGUCCUCGUCGAACCCGUCGCUUGCGACGAAGGGCUCGACGAGGGAAUUAACCCAUAGACACAGCCCACUGAGUUUCUCGCCGGAUCUUCUUAGUGGGUCACGUUUCCAAUCCGGUUGCAUGUUCUGCGAAGCACUGGUCUUGCUAGGGCCAGUGUUAGGAACACCCGGUUUGAGUCCCGUGAGCUCACAUACAUGUCAAGGAAAAGCUGAUAUAGCCUCUCAAGGCUAUCAGCAUAGGUAGGAUAAAAAAAAUGACGGUGCACCUCGUGGUAAAUCGUUACAAAAGCUUCUAUAAGAUUCUUUAUUCUAUAAAAUUGUCAACAAUUUUGUCAAAACAAUUUUGAGGCACGAGCUCUAAGUCUCAUCUAGAUUUCUUUCCUACCUAUUCUGUGGUAGCCUAAGGGGCUAUUCCAUAUACGCGCAGCCAGGUAGUUGGGCUCACGGACUCAUGGGAGUCCUAACACAAGGCGUAGCAAGAGCAGUACUUCGCUAUAACCGGAUCGGAAUCGCGACCCACUGAGAAGAUCCGUUAAAAAGCUCAGUGGGUUGUGUCUAUCGGUUAAUAGACUCGUCGAGCUCUUCGUCGUUAUCGACGAGGGCGGUGAUCUGGAUUGUAUAAUGGCUAUCCUACCCUUCAAACCACAAUCGAUGAUUGCUUUGCCGCAAAAAUAGACAUGACCCGUGCGGGCUUACAUGUCAUCUUACCCAACAGUAAAAUAUAAAUUAUUUGUCGCCAGAUUGAGACUAAUAAUAUAAUCGAAGACUUCUCAUAACAUCGUCUCGUUUCCGAACAAUCAUUAUAAAUUUAAAUUAAUAUUUUGUAAUCAACAAAUUCUGUGACAUGUUUUGUUUUGAUUACAAUUAUUAUUAUAAGAUCAUCAUCAAAGGUCAUCGAACUCAUUUGACCUAUUCAUUAUGUGAUCGGUUGUUGUAUUUAUCUGAAACAAUAUUUCAUAAAAUAAGUGUUUUGAAUUAUAUUCUUGAAUGUACCUACGCGUUUAAUGUGUUAUUAACAAAACGAGAUAGAGUUGUUGACACAUUAAUCGAGCAGAUAAGCUUAUCAGUUCUCUUUUUACUACUUCCAUUAUGUGCGUUCUGUAUUUGAACUAAUUAUUUACACAAAUGAUACUGUCAGUUUAUUUUCGGUGUAAAUUUACAACAGUCGCAAUUGUAAGCGAUUUCCAUUUGUACGAUUCGAUUUUAAUUUGUAAACGUGUUGUUUUUCGUAUUUUUGUUUUUUUCGAACAGAGGCCGCCGGGUUCAGCUGUUCAAGGCUUAUCGAACGACGUAAAUUAAAUUAACGAUUAAUUGUUUUCGCUGAGUUUUCUACACGAGUGCCCGAUCGGUAGUACGCGGAAAUUUUUUAAUGCAAGAUCGUCGAUUAAUAUUCGUUCUCGGAAAAGCUAGUGUGCGCCGAUAGUAAAAUAACGUGAUCACGUUUCGUGCAAUUUCAUAGGCUAUCAAAAUCACUUGAAUGUAUAUAGCUGUUGGACGUCAUCUAAUCCAAUACGAGUAAUGUGGUCCAAGUCUCAAUUGUAUAGUAAAAUGGGGCGUGCACUUCUUCGUGGCCCAAAAAAACAGGACGAUGGUAUUAUUUACCCGUGCGACCUCGCAGAAGCGCCGUGUAAUUAUCAGUAAUUAUGCAAAUUUAUAAUUCUGCGGGUUUCAUUUUUUAAACACGAUUUUAUUUAUUAGCCGCUAAAUGGUACUUGGUAAUUUGUCAUUUGUCCACUGAUGCUUUAAAAUCUAUAUAAAUAUUACAUUACCUCGAUUUUGCAUUCGAAAAAAUAAUAAUUACAAUAUGGCGUUUAAGCGAACAAGCAGCCAAUAGGGAAUAUGCAUGUGACUCUAAAAUGGAAAAAACAUUUUUAUUUGUAAUUUUGAUUGCUAAAAAACAUACCUAUACAAUUAUUUUUGAAAUUUAUCAUAAUUUAAUAGCGAAAUCGUCAAGAAUUGACUUUAUUCAAAUUCCCUCGCAAAUUUCUAAAACGCAACGCUAUUGGUGGAACAAAAUGUGACGUCAAACUACACUGUCAACAGUGUCAACAAGAUGUUUGUAUGGUUUCUAGUGAUGUGUAUCAUAUGUUUCAUGUUAAGUUAAUAAAUAAUAAAUGCCCAGUGUUAAAUUUUUACAUUCUCGUGUAGAAAGACUCACAAUGAUUGUAACCCGUUUUGUCAAAGCACAAUCAGAUAAUCUUCCUAAAAUAGACGUGUUUAUGAUGAGCACCUAUUUCGCAUCUAAUUCGGAUUUUACGUCUGCUGAAUUCAGAGAAGUGAAAGCUGUUUUUAUUGAUAGGUAUAUAUCUAUUCAUAGGUAUAUAUAUCUUAUAAAUAUAUACCUAUGUAUUAUACAUUGAGAAAAUCUUUAAACUAAGUUAUAUUUUCGUCGAGGUUUGUAAACAAAACGAGCAUGUGCAGUUAAUUAAGUAAAAAAGAUUCUGAUAUGUAUUUUAUUACUUUCUUAUUUCUUUACUUACAUUAAAAUGAUCUUCACAACAGUAUAAAUAGCUCAAACAGAAUACACUGUUUCUUUUCAUAGCCUUACACCACUUUUUUCUUAUAUCUGCAUGUUUCGGCAAAGGAAAUAUACUUUGUCAGGUGCAGUUUUGAUAUUAUUUGGGCAGAAAUGAACGGCACAAUAUUUAUAAGAAGUUUUCAUUGGCUUUUCCAUGGUUUCCAUUUUUAUCACUUACUUUUUUAACUUUGUGAACUUUUCGCUCCGUUGUUGACAUCGAAUUCGUCUGUAACCUGACGUCACUUUUUUUUCCUACCUAAGCUGAUAGAUAGCCUUGAGAGGCUGGCUAUAUCAGCGGAACCUUAACUAGUAGAUGAGCUCACGGGCUCAAACCUAACGACGUUGCUAACACGAACCCUAGCAAGAGCCGUGCUUCGCAGAAUCUACCACCGGAUCGGAAACGCGACCCACUGAGACGAUCCAGCGAGAAACUCUGUGUGCUGUGUCUGAGACGUCACAGAAAAAGCGUGCCAAAAUGACCGUGUUUCAAUCGCCACAAAAUGAUAGAUAUUUUAAUUUAAAAAAAAAUGCCUAAUUGUUUUUAUUACGGAUGAGUUAUAUUUAUUUUUUAUUGCCAUUGUAGGCAGACGAGCAUACGGUCCACCUGAUGGUAAGUGGUCACCGUCGCUCAUGGACGUCAGCAAUGCCAGGGGCAGAGCCAAGCCGCUGCCUACCAGCCAGGCCGCUGUUCUUAUCAAUAAUGCCCACAAAAAAACGAAUUAAGCACUGUAAUUAAUUAAUUUAUGAAAUGAAAUACUUUUUUUUUUAUUGCUGUGAUGUGUGGACGAGCUCACAGCCCACUUGGUGUUAAGUGGUUACUGGAGCCCAUAGACAUCUACAACGUAAAUGCGCCACACACCUUGAGAUAUAGUUCUAAGGUCUCAGUAUAGUCACAACGGCUGCCCCGCCCUUCAAACCGAAACGCAUUACUGCUUCACGGCAUAAAUAGGCGGGGUGGUGGUACCCACCCGUGCGGACUCACAAGAAGUCCUACCACCAGUAUGACAACAGUAACAAUCGAAUAUUAAUUAUUCGUCAAAACAAUAAUAUUCUACCUAUGCACACGUAUGUAUGUAAUGUGUUCAAACUAUUGUAACAUCGCAGCUGUUGAAAUUGAAACUCGCUUAUCAACCAUCCUUGAAGCCAAUACAUAACAGAGUACAUAUAUGAGUACGAACGUUCACAAGUCACAAUACAUUAUUAGUACUAGUACUUAACCAGUAAUUAUUUUAUGAGCAAUUAAGAAUUUAAUUUAAUUUAAUUUCUUAAAAUAAUUCGCAUUUAAACAAAGUAAACAUUUAUAGAGAUACGAAAAAAAUUCGUCACGGAAACUUUUUCUAUUCUGUAAUUACGUAAUUGAAAACAUGAAAACGCCGCUACCCAUUUUUUCGGCGAGUUCCUUAGUCGCCUUUUACGACACUCACAAGAAGAAAUCGGGUGGGUGCUAGUCUAAGCCGCACACGUCUUGGAGAAGCUCGCACUUACGUAACGCAGGCAAGUGUACGGGAAACCUUUUCCAAAACAGGAGUAACCAAAUAAUUUACUAGUUAUCUUUAAUAAUAAUAAAGUACCACGAAAUAAACGUAAUCCAGUACUUUGUUUAUUUAAGUUUUUUAUAUUGGCAACGGUAGCUUGAACAGUCCUCAGGUAUUUUAAUAUGUUAAAUUCUGUUGCAGUUAUAAAAAAAAAACAUUAGUAAAAAAAACAUUUUUAUGUUUUUGUGUGUCAGUAAACACCAGCACAUCCGCAAUAACAUCUGACCUACUUGUCAAGAAUUGUUCACUUUAGUCCCAGUAUGCGAAUUGAAUCGAUUUUCUAACACGAAUACAGCAAAUAAUGCACAGUCCGCACAACAUACAUACUUAGGUACACAUACACGAGAACUGCAAACAACUGUCAAACACGAAACUAAACUAUCAACCUUUAUAUAGGUUCCAUAAUUCAAUUUACUUAAAUAGCAUAAAUAUCAUAUUUAAAAAAAUCGAAUAGUUUAAAUGACUCUCUAUUAAUUGUUCUUGAUGGAUGUUAACUUGAAGUAAUAUUGAAAAUAAUCAUACACUUCAAAAAAAAAAAAGAAAUGAAACUGAGAAAAGCAGACGACAUUUCAACCUAGAAUGAGGUGUGUUUUCAUAAAACAAAAGAGUCUUAAUAGAAGUCACCUUUGAUAUUAUCAAUACAUACGAACGUACAAAUCAAUUAUUUAAACAUUCACACGAAAACAAUGAAAGUCAACGAAGCAUUGGAAAUGUUUUAACAAUUUAAUGAUUGUUUUGUGCAUAUCAUUUUAUUAUUGACGUACUUGGCGUUCUCAAGUUUUACCGAGCACUGAAGACAUUAACAUACAAAACGUAUAAGUACACACUCAAACAAAUUAAUAAUUUAAAAAUGUUUCAAUAUAGUCUCGUCUAAUGUACAGUAUUGAAAAAAUCAAGAAAUCAUCGAAGUAUUCGGUUAAAUUAUUAUUAUCUUCUUUGUAAUUUAUAUUUAUCAUUGAAAUAAUUUAUAAUCUCUUUAGUAUUAAGAUUACAAUUUAAAGUUUGAUUCGUUUGAUUUACAACUGUAUAAAGUCAUCUUAAAGAUAUUGAACACUUGGAAACUGUUUAAUCAGUGUUUCGAUAUUUUGUAUAUACAUUUACAAGUAUCUAGUCCCGAAUUCAUUUUGAAAUAUAGUUUGUAUAUAAAUAUUAAAAAAUUUUUUUUUUUAUAAUAGAACGCAUGUAGAAUUGGCCAACCAACAUGCAUAUGUAUUGGCCAUGCGUUAUCAUUUAGUCUUACCUAAGAUUUUCGGGUUUCGGUUUUAGGUAAUAAUAUUAGGUUGUUAUUUAUUUAGAUUCUAGUCAAAAUAUUGUCAAGCGAAAUAAAUAAUGUCCGUGUCUUUAGAAAAUUUACAUUUUGUUAAUUAAACAUUAUAUUAUAACACUAACCAGUUGUUUGUAACAUUCGUUUAAACGUCUUUUGACUGUGUUUGCGCCUACAAAACUAAUAAAGUAAUUAUUAUUAUUUAACGGCCGUCUGGUGUAGUGGUAAGUGACAUGGUCACUACACAAGGGGGUCGCGGGUUCGAAUCCCGCCAAGGGAAGAUAUUUGUAUGAUAAAUAUAAAUGUAUUUUCCAGGGUUAUGGAUGUAUAUUAAAUAUAUGUACAUAUGUGUAUAAUAAAAAUCUUACAUUUAUAUCCGUUGUCUGGUACCUGUAACACAAGUUCUUUACGAACUUAUCACGGGACCAGUUAACGUGGCGUGAUUGUUAGUAAAUAUUUAUUUAUUCUCAAACCGAAUAAAUGAGCGUUUGUACAGUGAGGACAAAUCCAACAAAAAGUAUACGAUAGUGUAGUUAAAUGAACUCCAAGUAGAUUACCGAUUUCUUUUAUUAUUUAAAAAACCGUCUUAUCUUACCUUUUCAAAUUGAGAAGUGCCUUACAGUGAAAUUUUUAGUCGUCGUAUCGAACGUGUAUUUUUUCGAUGUCAACAAUAUGAGUGAACACGGCUAACUCAAUUAGCAUUACGUUCAUGGAAAAUGUGUUGUGUGUCGCAUUGCUCUAAUAUAAAACCGUUAUGUGUAGACAAAUCAUUUGUACGACGACCGUUCAUUUCGUCGUGUAUCUUUUAAAUUGAGAACAAUUUUUUUUUUGUUUUGGUCAAAAUGGCCUGUUUAUUAGAAAAUUUUUAAAUGUAAUUUUAAAAGCAAACGGAUAGACUAUUCUCUUCCACGUAAUCACUGUGGUUAUCGCCGUAAUUCUAUGAACACAUCUAUAUAAUGGGUCUAUUAAUAGAACAAGACAGUUCAGGACCUUUUUCUCUUGUCAUUCCAAUUUUUUUGUGUAGUACUUACCGAUAAUCUUAUUUUUAAUAACCGACUUCAAAAAAGAGGAGGUUCUCAAUUCGACUGUAUGUUCUUUUUUAUGUUUGUUACCUCAUAACUUUUGACUGGGUGAAUCGAUUUUGAUGAUGCUUUUUUUAUUAGAAAACUGACGCUUCCCGUGUGAUCCCAUUUCAAUUUAGUCCUAUUCUGAUAAUGGUAUCGAUGAGAAAACCAUAUUAUAAUAAGUCUUAAAUUUGCAUUAAGUACGUGCGCGACAAAUAGCUCAAUAGCUUAAUAUCACGCCGAUUUCGAUAAUUAUUGUUUUAGUGUAUAUUAAUUUGUUUUGGAAUAUCUUUUUUUUCUAUUUGAUGUCGGUUCUUGUUAAAGCAUGUUAAUUUUUUUAUUGAUAAAAGCUACGACUAUACUUUUAUGACAAUAUUUCGUUAGCAACUAAACAAAAAAGUCGGUUGAUAAACAGAGGAGUAAAUGGAACCUAAUUAGCUAACUAUUUUGGCUUAGAUUAUUGUCAAUUAUUUACGAAAGUUUAAGCACGAAUAAGGUAAGAUUUAAAUUUAUGUUUAGUAUUUUGUUAUUUAUAGUGUUUUUGAUUAAUAAAAUCCAUAAAUAAUAUUGUAAAUUUGAAAGUAUAUUUGUUUGUGUGUUUCUUUGCCCUUCUUUCAUGUUGAAACGAUACAACGGAUUGAUAUAAUUUUUUUAAAGUGGUAGUAUUAAGUCAGUCUGCCUUUUAUCCCGAAAAAACAUUUCAUUCUCACGGGAAACUUUUUUUUUUAUUGCUCUUUAUAGUCAGACGAGCAUACGGCCCACCUGAUGGUGAGUGGUUACCGUCGCCCAUGGACUUAAGCAAUGCCAGGGACAGAGCCAAGCCGCUGUCUACCGUUUACUACUCUCCACAAGCCUCGUUUGAAGUUUUUUUUUUUUCCUACCUAAGCUGGUAGCCUGGAGCGGCUAUUCCAGCGUAACCGUGGCUAGUAGGUGAGCUCACGGGGCUCAAACCUGACGACGAUGCUAACACGAACCCUAGCAAGACCCGUGCUUCGUAGAAUCUACCACCGGAUCGGAAACGCGACCCACUGAGAAGAUCCGGCGAGAAACUCAGUGGGCUGUGUCUGGGAGUUAAUUUACUCGUCGAGCCCUUUGUCGCAAGCGACGGGUUCGACGAGAACGGUGACCGGUGCUUGAAGUACCUAAAAGCACCGUUAGUGGAUCGGGAGGAUCCGAGAUGACGUGUCGUUUGAAGAAAGACAUGUCAAACUACAAAUAUACUCAAAGUACAAACUACACUGACACUUUUUUCCUUUUUUUCCACACGCGAGCGAAUCCGGGCCGAAGUAAGAACUUUAAACUCUUUUUAAAUCUCUAAAGUUUUAUGAACAUCUUUCGGUCAAUAUGAAUUUACCCAGCUUAUUUAUCUUAUCUUGGAUUUUUUUGGCGUUCCCAGAUACUUCGACCUUUGCAAGUUUAUUAUGUCCUUCUUCUGCCCUCUACUCCAUAUCUCCUAAACACCGCCCGCAUGAGUCUUGCAUUAGCGUUUGAGAUAAGAGUAUAUACCGAUUUACUAUAUACCAAAACGCGGCUAACAACAUAAUUUCUAAAUAUAAAAAACUUUGCUGGUGGUAGAACCUUUUAUGAGGCCGCGCGGGUAGGUACCACCACCCUAUUUCUGCCGUGAAGCAGUAAAGCGUUUCGGUUUGAAGGGUGGGGCAGCCGCUAUAACUAUACUUGAGACCUUAGAAUUUAUAUCUCAAGGUGGGUGGCGCAUUUACGUCAUAGAUGUCUAUGAGCUCCAGUAACCACAUAACACCAGGUGGGCUGUGAGCUCGUCCACCCAUCUAAGCAAUAAAAAAUAAAAAAACCUCAACCAGGGUUGCGGUGGCCACAGUUUAUCAAGUGAGUGAAAUUGGUACUAACAAAAAAAAAACCUAAAAAGUGUUCUAAGCAAACACUUGCAAAACGUGAGUAUAUAUUGUCGGGGCGAAACAUUAAGUUCCAUUGGUAUCAUAAAAAAAAGAACCAUAAAGAAGGUAGACAGAUUAGAUUGCUCCUAACAUCCUACCCGCAGUCUUCAGUCCGCGCCGAAAUAUGCGGAACUCAUUAAAACUAAAAAUCGUGGUUGGAACCCACUUUGGUAUAGGACUUAUAAUUGACUAUAUUAGUAUUUAUCAUAUGAAACCCAAUUCUGAUAUUUGAGCUGGUAAAUAAUUUUUAAAUAAAUAAGUAGUCAUGUUCGUAAUCAAACAAUCCGUAAACGGUAUAAUAAUGUUAAAAUAAUUAAGUUUCGGUACGUUUUUACAUCGUGCGAUCUUAUCAAUCGUUCGUGAAUGUAUUUAACAUCAGAUAACGAUUGCUAUACGACAUACAUGAGUUUUUUAAACAUGUAAAUUGUGGAUAUUUUAUCGUGUGUUGUGAUGUAUUCGGAUUCCGGUUACUAAGUAACAAAGUCAUCGUGGCGACUUCCACUUCGGCAGUCAAAGUAAAUGAUUUCACACCACAGUAUUAUUAUUAAUUGACAAAAUUAUCUCGAGAAGUUUUUGUGUAAAACUGACAAAGUCACAGCCCAUAUAAUAAGUUUUUAUGUUCUAUGCGACCAAGGUAUGUUAUCUGUGCAAUGGCGACAUCGGAGAUUAUGACGCAUCUAGUGGUUGAUUCGUACAAGUUUACUCUUAUCCUAUUUAGCAUGUCCCUGCUUAACCUUUUCAACCCAUUGAACGGGCAGACUAGUUCACGGCUCAUCGAAGUAGUUACCGGAGUCCAUACGGUAUAUGAAGGACACGAAAAAUAUAUUUAAUACUAUGCAAAAUAAAAAUAUAAGAAAACUUUUCUAAUGUUUUUUUUUUAUUGCUUAGAUAGGUGGACGAGCUCACAGCCCAUCUGGUGUUAAGUGGUUACUGAAGCCCAUAGACAUUCACAACGUAAAUGCGCCACCCACCUUGAGAUAUAAGUUCUAAGGUCUCAAGUAUAGUUACAAUGUCUCUUUAGUGUAGGGAAAGUAAUAAAUUCUUAAACUGUCAUUAAUAAUUGAAUGAGGUAUUCAAGAGUGGACGAUGGUGGUUUUUUUUAUUUUUAUUAUUGCUUAGAUGGGUGAACGAGCUCACAGCCCACCUGGUGUUAAGUAGUUACUGGAGCCCAUAGCCAUCCACAACGUAAAUGCGCCACCCACCUUGAGAUACAAGUUCUAAGGUCUCAUGUAUAGUUACAGCGGCUGCCCCACCCUUCAAACCGAAAGGCAUUACUGCUUCACGGCAGAAAUAGGCAGGGUGGUGGUACCCACACGUGCGGACUCACAAGAGGUCCUACCACCAGUAAUUACGCAAAUUAUAAUUUUGCGGGUUUCAUUUUUAUUACACGAUGUUAUUCCUUCACCGUGGAAGUCAAUCGUGAACAUUUGUUGAGUACGUAUUUCAUUAGAAAAAUUGGUACCCGCCUGCGGGAUUCGAACACCGGUGCAUCGCUUCAACACGAAUGCAGCGGACGUCUUAUCCGUUAGGCCACGACGACUUCAAAAUCGACUUCACGACGACUUCAAAAUCUAAUCUGCCUUCGACGAGAAUUCGAUUCGAUUAUCACUCAGUUCGACGUGUUAAUUCUAGAAACGACGAUGUUUAGUGACGUUUGUUUUCUUUUGGGAUUCGAAGCGUCGGGUGCAAUGACGCACAAAUCCCAAAUAAAAAGAGCUCUAAUGAAAAGAACUAAUUUAAAAAAGCUACAGUAAGAAUAAGCCUCAUUCUUAAUUUCACGCAUAAUUUCUGUUCGUGUUUUUAAUUUACUAUUCUCGAGAUUUUCAUUUAUCAUUAAAAAAUCCUUUCACAACGAGCAUGUAGAAAUGCAAUCAAAUUUCAUUGCUUCAUUAAAUCGUUCGUAAUUAAUUAUGACUGUGUAAAAAUAAUCAGUUUAAAAAUUGAAAUAAAAAUAAAUCGAUUUGAAACUAACGUUAACUUUAAGUCCGUAAUUAUAAUUGAAUCUUAAACGGCAAUUAAUCUCGGGUUCUCCCGAUAAGCCCCUUCAGAAGAUUCAGUAAAUAACCGCCAAAUUACUGACACUUUAUUUUGUCUCGUCUCAUUGCUUUUCAUUUAAUUUAAUCACAAUUGAUUAACGUCUCGAAUAAAUCAACUUCAUCUCAUUCCGCUUCAUAUCAAUUUUCAUAUAAUAAAAUAUGUAUGUAUACAAUAAUUGAAGAUUUUUAUGAAGGCAACACUGGUAGCAAUGAUAUCGCAAGAAGCCAGUUGCCAUACUGAAAAAAGAAGAAGAUGCUGUAACCGCGCCACCGCCACCUUCGGUCAACAAUAGUAACUGUUGAUCGAAGACCGCCACACCGCCUAACAGCCUGGCCACGGGACAUUCGCCGAUGCGAAUAUUCGCGCGGUGCGAACGGCGAAGCGUCUAGCGACUAAAACAAGCGCAUAGAAAUGUACCUAACAAGCCACGCGCACCGGCGACCGGCGAAGCGACCGGCGAAAUGUACCGAGCGAAUCGCGCGAUGCGGCGGGCGAGCAAAACAAAUGCAUGAAUACGGACGGCGCGAGCCACGGAGUCGAGCGGUAGUCGCGGCGAAUAGUGCAGUGAUUAAAUGAGUUUAGUUGUUUUCGCCGCGAAAAAUUAACGCCGAAAUUUUUAUAUUUUUUAUUUAUUUUUUAUUUUAUAUUUUUAAAGUCGUCGUGGCCUAACGGACGUCCGGUGCAAUCGUGUUGAGCGAUGCACCGGUGUUCGAAUAUCAGGCGGGUACCAAUUUUUGUAAUGAAAUACGUACUCAACAACACUCAACGUUCACGAUUGAUUUCCACGGUGAAGGAAUAACAUCGUGUGAUAAAAAUGAAAUCUUCAAAAUAAUAAUUUGCGUAAUUACUGGUGGUAGGACCUCUUGUGAGUCUACACGGGUGGGUACUACCACCCUGCCUAUUUCUGCCGUGAAGUAGUAAUGCGUUUCGGUUUGAAGGGUGAGGCAGCCAUUAUAACUAUACUUGAGACCUUAGAACUUAUAUCUCAAGGUGGGUGGCGCAUUUACGUUGUGGAUGUCUAUGGGCUCCAGUAACCACUUAACACAAGGUGGGCUGUGAGCUCGUCCACCCAUCUAAGCAAUAAAAAAAUAAAAUAGCUGAAAUACUAGCUAGACCAGCUAUUUGGAAGUCUAGCCACCCAAAGUAUUUCUCGUACUUCUUGUGGAAUUCUCCAUCUAUAGGUAUACUCCGAUUCUUAUUCAAAUCAUGUACUUCACAAUCUUUUCCAAAUAAUAGGUCCUGAACCAAAAAACUAUUAAUUUGUAAGCAAUAUCGAGAUAAUUUCGAUAUAGACAUUUCGCUGUCGGACUUCCUUACUAGUCGCGGCGGCGAACGUGAGUACCCGUGGCCUGCAAACGGUGCUACGCGAAUGGUCGCCUCGCCCACCGCUUCGCUGUUCGCACCGCCGAUCCCCGUGGCCAGGCCGUAACUGUGUAGAGUAAGCUGAACGCGUUCACAGCAGCUCACCACCUGAUAACGUUUCCGAUGUUGUGUCUUGUCCAUUGCUUCUCGGUCGGCGGCUCCAUAUAGUUUUGUUUGUAGCAUGACUCAAAAAUGUCGAAUAUCUUGAGCAUAAUUCAAAUAUAUCCCACUACCUUAUUCUCUUCUCUUAUAAUGAUAAAAAAACUGUAUUGGAUUCACCAUCUCCUUUUUUUUCUUGCUUCAACAUUCUAUGUAACUAUACAAUUUUGUAACUAACAUUUCCUUAGUACAUCUACUGUCCGUAAAUACGUAUUUUCUUAUUAAAACGUGACGCAAAUUUCCGUACCUAGCAAUGUAUUUCAAAAGUUAAAGCAUAAUAUGUCAAACCUAAUAACCAUAAAUUAACACAAGCAAUGAAAAUGCAAAGAAGUGGUAGAAGAAUUCGUGCGCGAAGUAAAUCAAAUGAGUUUUCAUUUCGUUCGAGAAAGUAUCAAACCAAACUAUUGCGUUCGCUUCGCGUUAAUUCUAGAUUUUUAUAUUUCGCGCGUAUAGUUUCGCGCCGGCUGUAAAACGAAGACGAUAAUGAUAUUUUCGCGCCAAAUCACGUCACGUUAUGGAGAGCUUGUAAAAUGGCGGAAUGCACCAACUCUAAUAAUAUAAUGUAACUACAAGUUAUAUUUACAAAAACACAAUAUUUAUAGCUUAUAUAUUUCGAAGGGUAAAUACAAUUUAAACGUAAAUAAAUAUUAAUCAAGUUUUUUACCGUUGAGGUGGGUAAAAUAACACAUGAUUUUUUUGUUUAUACAUGAUCCUUUACUUUAGGUAUUUUGGCCACAGGUGAUAUUAGUUAAUAUAAAUAUGUAUCUAAUGUGAUUGAAAUAUACCAAGUUACUAAAAUGCUCUUCUCACUGCUAUCGAUCCAUCGGUCAAGUAUAAUUAUAAUUCCAUCAUCUAUUGACAUGUUCGUGUAUUUAUGAAUUCCAUUGAAUUCAACAACAAUGACCGUGUUAUACGCCGGUGUUGUGUAAAUAUAACAGUGUUUGGUAGUAGUAGGUACUUGUCGAUUCUCAAAACAUAGCCAUGUUCGAGUGUUUUAUAAAAUUUCGAGUUCGUCAGAGUAUUAGAAAUUACUUACUUCAGUGCCAUAAGAUUGAAUUUGAAUUUGAACAAUACCGACAAUAAUAUUAAUAACACAUUAGUAGCACAUAUUUUAAUGACAUACGGUCAUCUGGUCCCAAACUAGGAUUCUCUAUACAAUGGGAACUAGAUACUGAUAUACAUACUAAUAUACGUUUAAAUAAAUAAACAAAUACUAAAUACCCGAACAAAAAGGAAACAAAUAUGUUCGUAACAUGAAUGUAUGCCCGAUGUGAGAAUCGAACCCAACGCCCCUGGGCUUAGCAAUCGUCAAUUACUAUGCCACCAAGUCAGAUAAUAGAUGACAUAAUACAAGAACAAACAAUUACCAUACACUUGAAAUUACACAAACGAGAUUAUUUCAUUUCGUUAAGACGAAGUUAAAGAGAUUCCACUCGAGAAACAUUGUAAGUUACGUAUGAGUCGUUUAUUAUCAAAGGUGGCAAUCUGUGCAUUUGGACAAAAAAAUGUUAUUGAUAUGUCAAUACAGAUUGAUUUGAAUAUAAUCAUCUCCUUCAAAGAAUACGGUUCAAAACCUGCAUUUAAUAAAGGUUAAUACUUAACCUGUUAUUUAUCUAAGAUGUCGUUCAGAAGAGUUUUGUGACUGCCAAUGGAAUACAAAGUCAAUAAUUCGUUUUUCUGAUUUACCAAUAAUUGUCCAAAAGUCACAUUGCCGGCUUUGAUAAUAGUCGACGCGUAUUUCGUUUAGUAUACCAAAUGAAAUAUAUCAAUACGAUGUGAUCAAACAGCGGAAAUUGUUCUAAACAAACAUUAGACUAACUAAACUAAACAUGCUAGACUAAGAAGAAACUUUAUAAUUUGCGGUUUUACUCAACAAACAGCAACGUGACAACAAUUCCUUUCGAAUUAAAUUCAAAGUCGAGUGCUCGAAACGACAAGGUUACUGUUAUUUGGUUACCGUUCAUUAUCGAAAUAAAAAAGAGUUAUAUAAAAAAAUUCUUCAAAACAUUGAGAACAUAAAUAUUUUAGUGAGACUAAACAAAAUAAUUGAAUUUCUUUUUACUGUGCAUUAAAAGCUCAUGCUACUGGCAACGAACACUCAUGAUUAAAAUCAAAAGACAUACGUUAGGAACACAGAGCAAAGAACUACAGACGUAAAGUCCAAAAUGUUAUCGAUAAAUAAAUUCAGUACCGAAUAUCAGUUGUAAACGGCUUAAGCCAAUCUAAAUUAGUAGCAGUAUCGAUAAAAGACGAUAAUAACGAUAACGUUGUGUACGAAGACAUUUAAUAAGGCGAUUAAAAAAAUGAUAAGAUUUAACACUUUAAAAAUUUUCAUACCAAGUGUAUGAGCAUAAAGUCACUUCAUGAUUAUGUAUAGAAAGAUCGAUAUUCAAACGAGGGAAAAUUUUAGAUUGUGAUAUAUGUGUUAUACUUCGUACACGCGACAACAUGAUUGACCGUGUCAUUAGGGUUCGAUUUGUCCUUGACGAACGUGUCAUGGCCUGACACGAAUAACAGAAAUAAGUGAGUAUCAUACGAUCGAUAUAAGUAGAUAUCGUUUUUAGUGUGAUUGGAAUUAAGUUUGAAUUUAAACGUAUAGAAUUUUGCUGCAGGAGAAGACGCUGUGAAUGGACCAAUGCGUUUUGGCUCUUCCUGGAGCAAUAAUGCAAGUCAAUAAAUUUACUUUCCACGGGGAGUUAUCCGGUCGUCGAAUUUAGUUAUGGAGGAUUCGCACUUCCCAAUGAUUGCAAGAUUUCCAGAUAAUCCUGGUUUAUACAAACAUAGCAUUUCGUAAAAUACACCUGUGUAAUUUUAAGUUAGUAUAAGACACAGCUUCUCUUGUUGAGAAGUAGAGCUACUGCUCAACUUCUAGGCAUGCUGACGACUCGAAAGACUCAGUGAGAUAAUCGUAAGGGUAGACAACGGUGAAGUGGGUUCUGUGAGGUAAAAGGUUAUUCUUUCUCUUUCUUAUAGCGCUUGUUGAUUAAGAGUUAAGCUGUAUAUGGAAGGAUCAGAAAACGGAAAUUCCCUAUCCUGACGAUAGUUUGCAGCCUUGUCAGUCCCCAAACAGGUGUAACUUUAGCUAUCAUCCUUGGGUGCGGAGUUUUCAGUCGGCCCUAGCGUCUGGAGUUUCCGAAAGUAGAUCUGAAGGCUCCUGUAUCAUGUGGAUAGGCGUGUGAAGGUACCGUUGCUGUUCCGGUGUACCUGAGCUGUUACUGUACUGUAGUUACCUGUUACUGAUUCUCAAUACUGAAAACUCUCAACUUAAGCCUCCGGCUUUUGUUUGAUAAAUUCAAAAUACGUUUUCUUCACAACAGUGGAAAUAUUAUAAAGAUUACUAUCGUUACUUUUGAACAAAAGUUUCGGAUAUAGCUAAUAGAUCAAUAAUAUGGUAAGACACGACGCGUUGCAUUUCUUAUUUUUCAUCAUUACCGUUUUAAAAACACCGCCAAAUAUGCUAAAGUCAUCAAAUUGCGAUAGAUGAGAAAGUGAAGAUGAGCGUAACGCAUUGAUUGAGUUGUAGCCCAUCAAACAAAAACCUGCAUCAAAGGAUGUUAAAUUAUGAAACCAGCACUUUAAUAAAAAAUCAGUAUCAUUACUGCUGAUCAAAAAUAAAUCGUUUACGGUAAGCAGAAACGCUAAUCGUAAUACAUGGCUUGGCUCUGCCCCUGGCAUUGUUGACCUCCACGAGCGACGGUAACCACUCACCAUCAGGUGGGCCGUAUGCUUGUCAGCCUCAACAUAGAAUAAAAAAAAAUUGUAACUAAACCCUGGAGAAAAAACUUGCCACAAUGACAAGUUAUGAUCAAAAGAAGAGACUAGUCAGUUUUUAAUAAGUUUGCUUUCGUCUUACCAAAUGGUAACUCGUAAAGCUUUUUUUCCCUUACCUGAUCACUGGUAACCUAAGAGACUAUUCCAGCUACUUACGAACUGAAAGUAUUGUAUAAGGUAUUUAAUCUACAGAUUUUGAGAUCAACCUAGACAGUUACGGCGAAUGGCAGCUGUCAGCCAUUAUAAAUAUUAUAAUUGCAAACGAAUACGACCAAGCUAGCCAAUAUUGCACAACAGAGCCCAUCAUAUUUUAUUCUAAAAAUUUCUCAAUUACUCAAUGUAUUUAUUUUGACCUCGCUCCAAUAAAAUUGAAAUUCACUCUUUUCGGUAUAUACACAAUAUUUUUAGGAAAACAUCAAAUGCCAGCCAGUUAAAACGAUAUUUAAAGAGAUUACAAUAAUAACAUAUAAGGCCGCCGUUUUAAAAUACUGGCCAUUUGAAACGUAAUUUAUCUAUCGCUGGCAAUCAAUUCUAAAUUCAAAUGAAUUUUAUUUAAAAAAUAUGGAAUUCUAUUUUCAAAUCAGUCAUUUGUUUAUUGAUUAGUGUUUUGUUUUCUCUACAUUUGUAUGUUUUUCAUCGAAAUGGACGUGAUAAUAAUAGGAGUAAUUAUGGAAAACGAGUUCCGUCGCGUUAGCAAUACGGGACAAACGACUCACAACAUUAAAUACGUGUAUAGUGUGUGAACACUAAAAACGAACGCACGACUCAUUAUUGGCUUGAACGAUUCCGACAUGGAACUUUUGAUCUAAAAAAUUAUCUCCGUGGUCGCUCGAAAACUAAAGUCAACAACGAUUAAAAGCGGUAGUUGAAGCUCACGAUACUCAAUCUACAAAAGACCAUCUCUAAACCAGUGGCGUAGCCAGGGAGCGGGCAAAAGAGGGGCUUCGUCAUGCGGGCGCUACACACAAAGGGGCGCCAAAUGACCAGUGGUCAAAAAUUGCUGGAUACCGCAGAUUGAGGGGAAUCGGGACCCUUUCCAAAUCCAACACAAAUUUUCAAUGGUUUUUUUAGGGUAAAUACAAAUAGAAUUGAGAUUAAAACGGUUCCAGAGGCUUACAUUUUUAUAUACGACUAGCGACCCGCCCUCGCUUCGCUUCGGAAACAUUAAAUUUUAUUAUUGAUAGCUAAAUCCCGCGAUGUUACCCGCGGUUAUUGUCUUACCGCGGGUGAAGCCGCGGGGCGAAGCUAGUCUAAAAGAAGUAGCCUAAGUUACUCCUUAUAUCAUCAGCUACCUAUCAGUGAAAGUCCCAUCAAAAUCGGUUCAGCCGUUCCAGAGAUUAGCCGGAACAAACAGAAAGACAGACAGACAAACAAAAAUUGUAAAAAAUGUUAUUUUGGUGUAUGUACCGUAUAUAUAUAUUCAUAUGCAUGUAGUAUAAAAAGAGGCUAUUUCAAUAUUACAAACAGACACUCCAAUUUUAUUUAUAUGUAUAGAUGUGUUAUUAUACAUAGUUCAUUACGAAAUGUACACAAAAACUGAAAAAACUAGCUUGACCCGAUUCACCUUGGCUUUGGGGUGAAUCAGGUUACGUUUGGGGACAAUACUUUUUCGAUAGGGCUGGCACUGGCACUAUUUAGUUGUUAGUUAGGUACCUAACUUUAGGUAAUUAACUUUUUGGAGUUUACUCCUUUAGAAUCGAUUUACAUAUAUAGGCCCGGGGUAUGAAAAUUAUGGGGACCAAAAUCGUACUAGCAUGUCACACGAAAUGCGUUAUGCGCCUGAUUGCGCAUGUCACACGAAAUGCGUUAUCGCAGGUGACGCCGGGCUGCUGCGCCGGCAGUCCGCCACAAAGCCUCGUACUGAUCGCGCGUUUCUCUCAUUAUUGUAUUUUCAUAUAUUGGAGUUUACUCCUUUAGAAUCGAUUUACAUAUAUAGGCCCGGGGUAUGAAAAUUAUGGGGACCAAAAUCGUACUAGCAUGUCACACGAAAUGCGUUAUGCGCCUGAUUGCGCAUGUCACACGAAAUGCGUUAUCGCAGGUGACGCCGGGCUGCUGCGCCGGCAGUCCGCCACAAAGCCUCGUACUGAUCGCGCGUUUCUCUCAUUAUUGUAUUUUCAUAUAUUUGUUAGUCGUUUGUUUUGUGUCUCGUUAAUUUGUUAAUAAUCUGUAGUGUAUCGUGUUGUCGUAAUAUAGAACUAUUUCUCGUA